CCUUUCCCGCGCGACCGGCGAGGGAGGAAGAAGCGCGAAGAGCCGUUAGUCAUGCCGGUGUGGUGGCGGCGGCGGAGACUGCGGGCCCGUAGCUGGGCUCUGCGAGCAUAUAGGUUGCUGUAGAUGAAUGUUCUUAGCUGUCAUGUUUAAAAAUACUUCUGCUUCGUUACCUCAAGAUGAAAAUGAGCAUUUUACUUGAUGUUGAUAACAUCACAAUAAAUUAUGGAGAAAAAUACAUAUUUGGCUAACUUUUAAUUGCUGAACAAUAAAGUGUUUUCUUUUAAAUCAACUCU
rnacentral:lncRNA from 1 species